CCAACAUUUCAUCUUUCCUUCUAGGUCCGAGCCAUACCAGGGGACAUCGGCUUCUCCAUUGAAGAGCUGGAGGAUCUUUACAUGGUGUUUAAGGUGACAGUGAACACAGGGGUGGGUGGAGCUCCCCACCUCGGCUGUUAAGUCUGUCCUCAAACAGCAGCUCCUAGUCAGGAAACUCCUUGUCCCCAGUUGCAGUUCCUGUGAACCAUGUGUGGCAGAAUUUAAUCUUUCUUGGCAAUUAGUGAACAGAGUGUGCACAUGAGCACCUCAGGUGUUACUCCUGAAGCCGAUGCUUAUAAAGACAGGGUCCCUCAUUGCCAAGAGCUUACCAAGUAAGCUAGGCUGGCUGGCCCGUGAGCCCCAGCCCCCUGCUUCUGCCUCACAGCGUGUGAUUCUAAAGGCACACCACCACAAGCACCAUUGUUGUUGUUUUGCGUUUCGAGACAGAGUUUCUCUAUGUAGCUUUGACUGUCCUGGAACUCACUCUGUAGACAGAGUGAAUCUACAGAGUCACUACAGAGUCUCUGGCCUCUAACUCAUAGGGAUCCGCCUGUCUCUGCCUCCCAAGUGCUGGGAUUAAAGGCGAGCACCACCACUGCUUGGUGCACCUUUUUUUUUUUUUUUUUUUUUUUUAGAUCUCAUGGUUACAUGUACUUAUGGUGGUGCAUGUAUAGAAAUCAGAGGACAGCUUGUGAGUGUGGGUUCUCUCCUUUUAUUGUGUGUUCCGGGGAUCAAACUCAUGGCAUUCCAUUUGGCCGCAAGCACCUUUAUUCCCUGAGCUGUGUUUCCAGUCCCACACACCCAGCUUUUUUAUGUUGGUUCUGGGGACCAAAGUUAGGUUCUCAUGCUUGCAUGACAAGCAGUUUACUGACUGUACUCUAAUAGAGCACUCCUAAAUAGCAGGGGGGAAAAAACAAAACAACAACAACAACAAAAAUUCAACCCAACUCACACAGAAGAGGGAACACACCUACUCAUUUAACUGGAAAGUUACACAGCUUCAGGCAUGGCUGAGUCAGGGUACUGAAACUGGCUGUGACACUCCUCCAUCCCAGUUAACCUCUGGGCUGCUUUUCCUGUAGGACUGUCCUGAGCAGCUCCUGGGUCAGGCUCUCAGGGACCCCGGUGGAAACUGAAUUUUCUUUCUAAGUAGUUUUAGCAAAAGACACAGAUCAGGCAUUGGGAUGAGUCAACCUAGGUGCUGUAGCUAAGGGGUGGUUUGGGCUGCAACAACCCAGUGAUGGUGGGUAACCUACAGCCUUGUAACCCCUAGCCCAAGGGUGAGUCUGCACACAAAAUUCAGGUGCAUCAAAAGGAGGGGGAAGGGCAUGGAGGGGCGCGGGGGCAAAGGCGAAAGUCCACACUCCCUCUGUUUGGUUUGGUUUGGUUUGGGUUUGGGUUUUGGUGGUGUGGGGUUGGUUAGUUGACUGAUGGAGCAAGUGAGUAGGUUGGGUGGGUAUUUUGUUCUGUUUGCUUUGGGGCUGGGUUUUCUCUGCAUUGCCCAGACUUGCUUCACACUGAGUUCUGGAGGUCCAGUGAUCCUCCUGCCUCAGUUUCUUGAGUACUGAGACUGUGGGUCCACAUUGCCAGUUCCUGCAGUCCUUUUCAGCUACCUUAGGGUCAGUUGCCGAGGCGGCCACACUGUGUCAGAACAGUCAAGUCCAUGAGGCCCUGUUCAGUUCCUCUGCUGUGCACUAGAGUGAGGGAUCCCGUGAAAGCUGAGGUACCAGGCCAGAGCUCAUUACCCUAAGAAUAUGGACAGAUCAGGGAAGGCACCCUGGUAAUCCUGAGAGUCAGGGCCCCAAAAGCCAUCUCACCAGACGGUGUCCCCUGCAGGCCAAGCAUCUGGCAAGCCAGUACUGGGGUGGUAACCGCUCAGCAGCCGUCCACCGAGACCCCAGCCUGCCCUACCUGGAGCAGUACCGGAUCGAUGCCAGCCAGUUUCGGGAGCUCUUUGCCAGCCUGACGCCUUGGGCCUGUGGCUCUCACACGCCUGUGUUGGCAGGCCGCAUGUUCCGACUCCUGGAUCAAAACAAGGACUCACUGAUCAACUUCAAGGAGUUUGUGACAGGGAUGAGUGAGUGUCUCACCCAUCUUUCAAGCACCAGUCAGUGCAGCUGUCCUUCCUGAGGCCAGCAGGGGGCGACCUUGAGCCCUUGCCUAUGCCAGACCUCAGCAGACUGUUCUACUGUCCCUCUCCUUGGGGCUCUGGCCCCAAAGAAGGUUAAGCUUUUCCAUAGGGUCUUAGGGAAGCAGGAGGCCCAGGGCUCAUUUGAUCUUUCCUAGAGACCUGGCUAGGGAAGACCCAAACCUUCCCAGAGUGUGGAGUCUCCAUUAGAGCCCACAGGAAGGGUCUGGGGAUAUGGCCUGCAGUGUGUUCCUAGAGUCUCCUUGCCAAGCAUGUCCCUCCCUGGCCUUGCUCCACAGGUGGGAUGUACCAUGGAGACCUCACUGAGAAGCUCAAGGCGCUCUACAAACUGCACCUGCCCCCAGCUCUGAUCCCAGAGGAAGCCGAGUCAGCCCUGGAGGCCGCCCAUUACUUCACAGAGGAUAGCUCCUCGGAAGGUGAGCCACUCCUGAGACAGCCAGCACAGCCAGCUGCGCUCUGCAGCUCUCCGUCUUCCCGUGGGGCCUGUGUAGGAGCCAGCAGUCCCACUGUGGGCUCCGGGAGCAUGCCACCCUGGGGUGCUCUCUGGGAGGGCCCCACAGCACUCCCUGGGCCAGACUGGCCCCUGUAGACAUUCUCAACUGUUGUUUCUCUUGCAUCUCUGUCUCCCUGGACGUGGGCUUCUCCCUCUGCCCUCUACACAUCCUCUGCUGUCCCUUCCAGCAUCUCCUCUGGCCUCAGAUCUGGAUCUUUUCCUGCCCUGGGAGGCUCAAGGUCAGUCCCUAGAGGGCAAGGGUGACCCUUUUGCCUCUGGGCUUCAUCUUCCUUUACUCAGAAGCCUGGAUGCUUUCAUGCCCCGGGGACUCUUUGGAACUUUGUCCUGUGGGGAUAAAUCUGAGAACACCCAGAGCCCAAGAUGCUUCUGGUGGGGGCAAUCUGCUGUAGAUGGUCAGUGAGGAGGAUGCAUGCAUGGCACACGAGACACGGAGCAAGCCCAGGGCUUCACCUCCGCACCCACAUGCAAAAAGCUCACGCUUGUAGGAGAGGAAUGCAGAGUUUUGUCAUCGUGACUGUGAGACAGGUAUGGGAUGGAGGAGUGGAGAUGGAGAGAUGGUAGAUGUUCCCCCUUGGGAAACCUCUUCAAGCCUCACAGGAUUUUUUCAUCACAAAAAAUACGUAUGCAGAGUGCCUGGUGGGACUCAACCUUUGCUGCAUGCAAUGCUCGUUGGGAAUGUCUGACACGGUGAAGGCCAUUCUGGGCCCUGGGUUUGGCAAGUGAGCUGGUCAUGUAUGAUACAAAACUGACCAUAACAGCUGGGAAUGUAGCUCAGUGUUCGAGCACUUGGUUUGCAUGUGGGAUCCAGGGUUCUGUCCUGAGGGGCUGGGAAUGGAAUUUGGAGUAUAGUGAUGCAUGCCCCUAAUCCCAAUACUCUAAAUAGAGGCCAAGGUGGCAAGAGGAACUGGAGCUCAAGGUCAGCCUAGUUUCAUGGUGAUUUUUUUUUUAAAUAAAUGGUCUGGAAAGAGGGUUCUGUGGGUAAAGGCACAUGCUGCCAACCCUCAUGACCAGAAUUUGAUUUCCAGAAUCCACAUGGUAGAAGAAGAGAACCAUAUAUACAUGCCAUAUACACAGGCCAUAUACACAGGCCAUAUACACGUGCACACAAAACUUUUUAAGCCAGUGUGUAAAAGCUCACACCUUUAGUCUGAGCAUUGAGGUGGUAGCAACAGGUGGAUCUUGUGAGUUGAAGGCCAGCCUGGUCUACAAAGCGUUCCAGGCCAACCAGGGCUACAUACUGAGAUACUGUCUCAAAAAACAAAACAACAACAAGAGUUAAUUUAUUUAAUUAAUUUCAAGAAUAAGGUCUGGGGAUGUAGCUUGAUGGUAGCACUCAUGUCUAGAUUAGAUACAGCCCCAGGUUCUGGUCCAAGUAAAUAUAAAACAAAAAUAAACAACAACAACAAAUGAUUUUCCCAGGUGGGUGAUAUACAUCAGAAAGUGACACUGAAGGGACACUAAACAGUGUCCUAAGUCAUCACUGUCCUGUGGACAGUGUUGAAGACUGACUGGAACUUGAACAUGACCUUAAUGUCAAGAAUUAAAUUAGAGAGCUUAGAGCGUGGCUCAGUAGUUAAGAGCACUGGCUGUUCUUCCAGAGGACAACCACAUGGCCGUUCACAUCAUCUGCAACUGCAGUUCCCGCAGGUCUGAUGCCUUCUUCUGGCUCCAUGGGCACCCAGGUAUGCACAAGGCAUACAUAUGUACAACAGGCAAACACCCAUACCAGGAAAAUAAUUUUUUUUUAAUGUUUAAAAAAAAAAUACAGCCGGGUGUGGUGGUACACGCCUUUAAUCCCAGCACUCGGGAGGCAGAGGCAGGCGGAUUUCUGAGUUUGAGGCCAGCCUGGUCUACAGAGUGAGUUCCAGGAACAGCCAGGGCUAUACAGAGAAACCCUGUCUUGAAAAACC
rnacentral:lncRNA from 1 species